GAUGAAGAACGUAGCGAAAUGCGAUAACUAAUGUGAAUUGCAGAAUUCAGUGAAUCAUCGAGUCUUUGAACGCACAUUGCGCCCCCUGGUAUUCCGGGGGGCAUGCCUGUCCGAGCGUCAUUACAACCCUCAAGCUCAGCUUGGUAUUGGGCCCCGCCGACCCGGCGGGCCCUAAAGUCAGUGGCGGUGCCGUCCGGCUCCGAGCGUAGUAAUUCUUCUCGCUCUGGAGGUCCGGUCGUGUGCUCGCCAGCAACCCCCAAUUUUUUUCAGGUUGACCUCGGAUCAGGUAGGGAUACCCGCUGAACUUAAGCAUAUCAAUAAGCGGAGGA
rnacentral:misc_RNA from 1 species